CUCCAACACCAUUCCGAGCAGUUUGUCUCCCCUGAGGGUGCUUGGGAGCCAUGGCGGGGCUGUGAGCAGGGGAGGCAGCAGUCAGCUCUUAGUGCCAGAAAUAUCCCGGAGCAGGAGGAGGGUGAGGCUGGAAGAGAAGAUACUUCUUUUUGUCCGUCACGCCUUUAGAAUUAACGUCCAGAUUACCAGAAACACAGGAGAGAGAAACAAGUACAGUCGACCCUCUCUACCCGCGGAUUCCAUCUUUGCGAAUUCGCCUGUUCGCUAAAAGUUAUUUGUAACCGCCCAAUGAAGACUCGCGGCGUUCUCGCGAUCAUUCGCGGACAUGCGCAGAGCGGCUAAACUUUGGAGUCGGUGGAUGCGCGCAUCCCCAGCUGAGGUCAGACAAGGUGGUGCUCUGCCCUCCUGUCCCAGCUCUCAGCAGAGAGACGCCCAGAGAGGGUGCCUGGAGUGGGGCGCUGCUGUGCGGGGAGCUCCCACCCUGGGGCCAGCGGGAGGCGUUUGAAUCCCAGCUCUGGUACCUGUGAGUGGGGCGGCCUCAGGCAAAGUUUCCAGUUUGUAAAAUAAAGAAAAUUGAAUUUC